GUGAAUAGUCACAAGAGCCUCGUAUUAUAGAGUAUGAGUUAUAAAGCCCUCUGUCCAAGUCCUUUUGGUUCCAGAUUUCUAGUAUUUCCGAGAAACUGGUCAGGAAGAGUGAAUCUGGUAGCUCUAGAACAAUACUUUUCUAUCUUAGAAACCUGAUGAAACUGACCCUCCCAUUACAAUUCUAGAUGACACUAAUAGAGCUCAAGAUCCUGACAGAAAAAUACAUUACAGACUGGGAUACAUCAAAAUAAAAUGGAACUUGGAUAAUCUACUCAGAGCAGAUCACCACGCAAAUGAGAACCUCAUCACAAACAGCAACUCAAAGGUCAUCUGCGAGCUUUUAGAAGUGCCAAAUCUCAGGCAUCCUAAUACUGAGUCUUCACCUGCAUUGUAAUGAGAUUUCCAGGUGACUCCUAAGUCCCUUGAAGUUUGAGAAGAACUGACCUAAGGAAUCUUAAUUUUUUAAGACAACGAGAGGAAGCAAAACCCUUAAUUCUACAGUCCAAUGGGUAUAAAUAAAUAAAUAAAUAAAGUGUACA
rnacentral:lncRNA from 1 species